UACGUAGGGGGCCAGCGUUGUUCGGAAUUACUGGGUGUAAAGGGUUCGUAGGCGGUGCGGCAAGUUGGGAGUGAAAUCUCUGGGCUUAACCCAGAGGCUGCUCUCAAAACUGCUGUGCUUGAGUGUGAGAGAGGCUCGUGGAAUUGCAGGUGUAGCGGUGAAAUGCGUAGAUAUCUGCAGGAACACCGGUGGCGAAGGCGGGUCUCUGGGCAGUAACUGACGCUGAGGAGCGAAAGCGUGGGGAGCGAACAGG
rnacentral:rRNA from 1 species